CCUACGGGUGGCAGCAGUGAGGAAUAUUGGUCAAUGGGCGGAAGCCUGAACCAGCCAAGUAGCGUGCAGGAUGACGGCCCUACGGGUUGUAAACUGCUUUUAUACGGGAAGAAAGCGCCUUACGAGUAGGGGUUUGCAUGUACCGUAAGAAUAAGGACAGGCUAAUUCCGUGCCAGCAGCCGCGGUAAUACGGAAGGUCCGGGCGUUAUCCGGAUUUAUUGGGGUUAAAGGGAGCGUAGGCCGCAUGUCAAGCGUGCGGUGAAAUGUCCGGGCUCAACCCGUGCCUUGCAGCGCGAACUGGCGUGCUGGAGUCCGCGGAAAGCAGGCGGAAUUCGUCGUGUAGCGGUGAAAUGCUUAGAUAUGACGAAGAACCCCGAUUGCGAAGGCAGCUUGCUGCAGCGGAACUGACGCUGAUGCUCGAAAGCGCGGGUAUCGAACAGGAUUAGAUACCCCUGUAGUC
rnacentral:rRNA from 1 species